rnacentral:rRNA from 1 species
UACAGAGGUCUCAAGCGUUGUUCGGAAUCACUGGGCGUAAAGGGUGCGUAGGCCGCACGGAAAGUCAGAGGUGAAAUCCCGGAGCUCAACUUCGGAAUUGCCUCCGAUACUCCCGUGCUUGAGGACUGGAGAGGAGUCUGGAAUUCACAGUGGAGCAGUGAAAUGCGUAGAUAUUGGGAGGAACACCAGUGGCGAAGGCGGCUACCUGGACCGGUUCUGACGCUGAGGCGCGAAAGCGUGGGUAGCAAACAGG